AUACGGAGGGUGCAAGCGUUACGCGGAAUCACUGGGCGUAAAGCGCGCGCAGGCGGUCUUUUAAGUUGGAUGUGAAAGCCUACGGCUCAACCGUAGAACUGCAUCCAAAACUAUUAGACUAGAGUGUGGGAGAGGAAGAUGGAAUUAGUUGUGUAGGGGUAAAAUCCGUAGAGAUAACUAGGAAUACCAAAAGCGAAGGCAAUCUUCUGGAACACUACUGACGCUGAGGCGCGAAAGCGUGGGGAGCAAACGGGAUUAGAAACCCUAGUAGUCC
rnacentral:rRNA from 1 species